AUGAUGUUUCCCUUGGUCAAGCACUAAGUCAUCUCCAAGUCUGAAGCAUUCAGCAAACAAUGGCAAGGCUGAGCCACCAGAAAUGUACACCUGAUUUUCAUGACAAAUAUGGUAAUGCUGUAUUAGCUAGUAGAACCACUUUCUGUAUUGCUGUGUGGACAUAUGUAGCAACACAAAUCGGAAUAGAAUGGAACCUUUCCCCUGUUGGCAGAGUCAUUCCAAAGGAAUGGAGAGAUCAGUAAUAAUCCCAACUGGUGUAAUAAUAAAUUGUUUAAAAAACAUCUCAUAGUUGAUGCCAAGUUAAAGCACUGUGUACCCAUUAAGAUAUGGCAUUAUUGAAGAAAUAAAGAAAUAAAACCAUCAA